rnacentral:rRNA from 1 species
UACACUCCUACGGGAGGCAGCAGUAGGGAAUCUUCCACAAUGGGUGCAAACCUGAUGGAGCAAUGCCGCGUGAGUGAAGAAGGUCUUCGGAUCGUAAAGCUCUGUUGUUAGAGAAGAACACGUGCUAGGUAACUACUAGCGCCUUGACGGUAUCUAACCAGAAAGUCACGGCUAACUACGUGCCAGCAGCCGCGGUAAUACGUAGGUGACAAGCGUUGUCCGGAUUUAUUGGGCGUAAAGGGAGCGCAGGCGGUCUGUUUAGUCUAAUGUGAAAGCCCACGGCUUAACCGUGGAACGGCAUUGGAAACUGACAGACUUGAAUGUAGAAGAGGAAAAUGGAAUUCCAAGUGUAGCGGUGGAAUGCGUAGAUAUUUGGAGGAACACCAGUGGCGAAGGCGAUUUUCUGGUCUAACAUUGACGCUGAGGCUCGAAAGCGUGGGGAGCGAACAGGAUGAGAAACCCGAGUAGUCCCAUGA